rfam:Schistosoma haematobium scaffold646_3, whole genome shotgun sequence.
AUCCAGUUGACGAGUCCCAAACAUGACAAAAGGCGCGUCCUGGAU